GUCAUAAGUUCAAAUCCCGUGUUUCACCGGACUGUAAUGAAAUGCUGAAAUGACUCAAAGAAUAUGCCUGAAUCUCAGACUGCAAGCCCAGUGGUUGGAGCGUGGUCAAUUUAAUUUUUAAUUUUAUGCACUUUUGCUGCAGUAGCUCAGUUUAACUAAAACCAACUCUGCAUUGGAGGUGGGCACGACGUCAGAUUCGGACCUCCAUAUGACGUCCAAAAAAGACGUAAUGAAAACUUUCAAUCUGCACCUACAGCAGACCUGAUUUGGAGGUCAAAAAAUUACGUCGAUUAGAGGUUAUUUCAACGUCACAUUGCGCAGUGGGUUGUUGCUCCUCAUCGCAUUUUGUCUCAUUGAGUUUGUUGUUGUUUUGUGUUUCUUUAUACUUGUUAGUCAUUCAUGACAAAAAGAAAUUCGUUAUAGGUACUAGUUACUUCUUCAGAAAAGUAAGUUAUGUUAUUAUAAAAGUAACUAAUUGCUUGAAAAAGUAAGUUUUGAAAAAUUUCUUUUAGGUAUGUCAAAUAAUUUUUGAUCCCCUGGUAAUGGAACUUUAAGAAGCAUUUUCAAUUAUUGUUGAUAAAACUGAACAUUUGAUUAUAUUAUUAUUAUUAUUAUUAUUAUUAUUAUUAUUAUUAUUAUUAUUAUUAUUAAUGAUAAUAAUGAUAAUAAUAAAAAGUAAUAAUAAUAAUAAUAAUAAUAAUAAUAAAUAAGCAGUGAACUUGAUAAGUUCUGUGAUCUUUUUCCACUCUGAGUGAUUCCUGAUGUUUGAACUCAGUAACCUCCUGCUUCUUUCUUCUUCUUUUAUUUUGGUGAAUCUCAUGGGCCGCUGCUAUUCUGGAAGUGAGAUCACAGCUUUCACUCCAAUCUGAAGCCGUGAUCACCGUCCGUCACCAUCAUUGUAAUCCAGGAGGAUUAAAGGCUCUCAAUGUAAACAGCACUGAGAAGAAGGAGAAUCCACCUCUCGCCCGGCUGCUGCCGCCGUGCCUCUGAGCAUCAUUCCUCUGCUGCAGCUAUUUUCUAUUUCCAACUCAAUUAACGCCCGAGAGCGAAACACCAAGGAUGAGCAUCACACCUGCUGCCUGGCACUGCUGCAGAGGGGGAAUCAAACUCGCACAAUUUGAAAUAUUAGCUCUUCAGGAAGAUGAAGACACAAGAAGGACUUGUGAUGAAUUAAUGAAGGGAUGACUGAUUUUUUUUUUCAUGAUGAAUCACACUUUUUUUAAGAUUGAAAACUGCAUUUUUAACAUUGCAUUAAUUUGCUUUUAUUUUGAAGCAAAAAAUACGAUGGAAAAAAAAUAAAUGAAAAUGUGAUUAUAUGGUGAUGUGAUUAAGAAAAUAAUGCAAACCGGAGGAAACCCAUCCAGACACGGGGAGGAACAUGCAAACUGCACACAGAAAGCACGGUCCAGGGAAUCAAACCUGUGACCUGCUUGCUGUGAAGCAAGAGCGCUAACCACUCCUCCGCCGUGAAGCCACAAAAAGAAAAACCACGAUCAUGAUUUUAAAAAAGUGAUGAGAGGAGAUCGGGACUGUGGACUGUGGUAGAGUAAAAAAAUCAUUUUUGAUGAUUUUCACUUUAUUUGAAGGUAAGGCCAUCCAUGAGUGAAAAUUGGAAAAAAAAAUUUUUUUUUGAUAAUUUUCACUUUAUUUUGAAAUUAAGGCUACAGUAAGA